GGGUCCUAAGCUGAGGCCGACAGGCGUAGGCGAUGGAUAACAGGUUGAUAUUCCUGUACCACCUAGUAUCGUUUUAAUCGAUGGGGGGACGCAGUAGGAUAGGCGAAGCGUGCUGUUGGAGUGCACGUCCAAGCAGUAAGGCUGAGUGUUAGGCAAAUCCGGCACUCAUAAGGCUGAGCUGUGAUGGGGAGAGGAAAUUGUUUCCUCGAGUCGUUGAUUUCACACUGCCGAGAAAAGCCUCUAGAUAGAUAACAGGUGCCCGUACCGCAAACCGACACAGGUAGUCAAGAUGAGAAUUCUAAGGUGAGCGAGCGAACUCUCGUUAAGGAACUCGGCAAAAUGACCCCGUAACUUCGGGAGAAGGGGUGCUCUUUAGGGUUCACGCCCAGAAGAGCCGCAGUGAAUAGGCCCAAGCGACUGUUUAUCAAAAACACAGGUCUCUGCUAAACCGUAAGGUGAUGUAUAGGGGCUGACGCCUGCCCGGUGCUGGAAGGUUAAGAGGAGUGGUUAGCUUCUGCGAAGCUACGAAUCGAAGCCCCAGUAAACGGCGGCCGUAACUAUAACGGUCCUAAGGUAGCGAAAUUCCUUGUCGGGUAAGUUCCGACCCGCACGAAAGGCGUAACGAUUUGGGCACUGUCUCAACGAGAGACUCGGUGAAAUCAUAGUACCUGUGAAGAUGCAGGUUACCCGCGACAGGACGGAAAGACCCCGUGGAGCUUUACUGUAGCCUGAUAUUGAAAUUCGGCACAGCUUGUACAGGAUAGGUAGGAGCCUUUGAAACGUGAGCGCUAGCUUACGUGGAGGCGUUGGUGGGAUACUACCCUAGCUGUGUUGGCUUUCUAACCCGCACCACUUAUCGUGGUGGGAGACAGUGUCAGGCGGGCAGUUUGACUGGGGCGGUCGCCUCCUAAAAGGUAACGGAGGCGCUCAAAGGUUCCCUCAGAAUGGUUGGAAAUCAUUCAUAGAGUGUAAAGGCAUAAGGGAGCUUGACUGCGAGACCUACAAGUCGAGCAGGGUCGAAAGACGGACUUAGUGAUCCGGUGGUUCCGCAUGGAAGGGCCAUCGCUCAACGGAUAAAAGCUACCCCGGGGAUAACAGGCUUAUCUCCCCCAAGAGUUCACAUCGACGGGGAGGUUUGGCACCUCGAUGUCGGCUCAUCGCAUCCUGGGGCUGUAGUCGGUCCCAAGGGUUGGGCUGUUCGCCCAUUAAAGCGGUACGCGAGCUGGGUUCAGAACGUCGUGAGACAGUUCGGUCCCUAUCCGUCGUGGGCGUAGGAAAUUUGAGAGGAGCUGUCCUUAGUACGAGAGGACCGGGAUGGACAUACCUCUGGUGUACCAGUUGUCGUGCCAACGGCAUAGCUGGGUAGCUAUGUAUGGACGGGAUAAGUGCUGAAAGCAUCUAAGCAUGAAGCCCCCCUCAAGAUGAGAUUUCCCAACUUCGGUUAUAAGAUCCCUCGAAGAUGACGAGGUUAAUAGGUUCGAGGUGGAAGCGUGGUGACACGUGGAG
rnacentral:rRNA from 1 species